CGGCGGACGGGUGAGUAACGCGUAGGCAACCUGCCCUUUGCAGAGGGAUAGCCAUUGGAAACGAUGAUUAAAACCUCAUAAUACUAAAUAGUCACAUGGCUGUUUGGUCAAAGAUUUAUCGGCAAAGGAUGGGCCUGCGUCUGAUUAGCUAGUUGGUGGGGUAACGGCCUACCAAGGCGACGAUCAGUAGCCGACCUGAGAGGGUGAUCGGCCACAUUGGAACUGAGACACGGUCCAAACUCCUACGGAAGGCAGCAG
rnacentral:rRNA from 1 species